UACGAAGGGGCUAGCGUUGCUCGGAAUCACUGGGCGUAAAGGGUGCGUAGGCGGGUCUUUAAGUCAGGGUGAAAUCCUGGAGCUCAACUCCAGAACUGCCUUUGAUACUGGCGAUCUCGAGUCCGGGAGAGGUGAGUGGAACUGCGAGUGUAGAGGUGAAAUUCGUAGAUAUUCGCAAGAACACCAGUGGCGAAGGCGGCUCACUGGCCCGGUACUGACGCUGAGGUGCGAAAGCGUGGGAGCGAACGAGG
rnacentral:rRNA from 1 species